rnacentral:rRNA from 1 species
AUUGAACGCUGGCGGCAUGCCUUACACAUGCAAGUCGAACGGCAGCAUGAUCUAGCUUGCUGGAUUGAUGGCGAGUGGCGAACGGGUGAGUAAUACAUCGGAACGUGCCCUGUAGUGGGGGAUAACUAGUCGAAAGAUUAGCUAAUACCGCAUACGACCUGAGGGUGAAAGUGGGGGACCGCAAGGCCUCAUGCUAUAGGAGCGGCCGAUGUCUGAUUAGCUAGUUGGUGGGGUAAAGGCCCACCAAGGCGACGAUCAGUAGCUGGUCUGAGAGGACGAUCAGCCACACUGGGACUGAGACACGGCCCAGACUCCUACGGGAGGCAGCAGUGGGGAAUUUUGGACAAUGGGGGCAACCCUGAUCCAGCAAUGCCGCGUGUGUGAAGAAGGCCUUCGGGUUGUAAAGCACUUUUGUCCGGAAAGAAAUCGCACUUACUAAUAUUAGGUGUGGAUGACGGUACCGGAAGAAUAAGGACCGGCUAACUACGUG